CGUGGGUAACCUGCCUUAUAGUGGGGGAUAGCCUUUCGAAAGGAAGAUUAAUACCGCAUAAGAUUGUAGUAUCGCAUGAUAUAGCAAUUAAAGGAGCAAUCCGCUAUAAGAUGGACCCGCGUCGCAUUAGCUAGUUGGUGAGGUAAUGGCUCACCAAGGCGACGAUGCGUAGCCGACCUGAGAGGGUGAUCGGCCACAUUGGGACUGAGACACGGCCCAGACUCCUACGGGAGGGCAGCAUG
rnacentral:rRNA from 1 species